ensembl:lncRNA
GCUCACAGGCACAAGACUUCUUCCUGGAGAACUCCAGAGGAAUAGUUAAGUUCUCUAAGUGGCACAGAGCUCCCAGGUGGGCGGUAGCAGUGAGGGUGCUUUGCAAAAGGAAUGCCUGCAGGCAGCAGAUGGACACAGCCGAGUGCAGCCUGUGUGAGCACCAGGCGAAGAAGAAAAAGCCCUGCAAUGAGCAGAGUGGGGCUGCACCCAGACAGUGGAACCACAGAAGGGCAGGAGGAUGGGGGUCACAGAACACCACCAACCGCGUAAAUGAGGUGUCUGAACAGACACAGCCACCUGAAAUGGCAGCAGAGGGCUCCAGUGCCGAAUGGAAGGCAGCAGCCUGUACUGCUCCUCACUGUGUGUGACAGCAGGACUGGGCACAGAGACACCGAGAGCUGGGGAGGGCAGGGGGGAACUGGGAGAGUGUGGGUGUGUAGAUAGAAGCUAUGGGUUGGAGAGUUAAACAGAAAAAAGAGACCUCAGGAGCAAUAGAGCAGCGACACUGCAGCCCGGUGAUCCCAACAGCAGCGCGAGGCGCUCCAGAUGGCUUUUUGUUUUAGUGCAAUGAGAAAUACAACCUGACAGGCAAGUGUGGGGCUGGGUAAUAAUAAUAACACCAAUGAUUUCCUUACAAAAAUGAAAGCAGCCCAUCAGCUCAAAGGUACCCCUCUUUGCUGCAAAGAACAGAGACUCUCUGUUACUUACUGCAGCGGUGAGUGCGUUCCUGAGCUUUGAAAUGGCAUUUUGUUGCAGAAGUACAAUGUGAGGAUAUUGGACUCACUUCCCA